rnacentral:rRNA from 1 species
UACGGAGGAUGCGAGCGUUAUCCGGAUUUAUUGGGUUUAAAGGGUGCGUAGGCGGUCCGUUAAGUCAGCGGUAAAAUUGCGGGGCUCAACCCCGUCGAGCCGUUGAAACUGGCAGACUUGAGUUGGCGAGAAGUACGCGGAAUGCGCGGUGUAGCGGUGAAAUGCAUAGAUAUCGCGCAGAACUCCGAUUGCGGAGGCAGCGUACCGGCGCCACACUGACGCUGAGGCACGAAAGCGUGGGGAUCGAACAGG